CUGAAAUGACUUCCACGGCUGGGACGGGAACCUUCCACCCACAGCUAUGCCUCUGAUUGGUGAAUGGUGAAGGUGCCUGUCUAACUUUUCUGUAAAAAGAACCAGCUGCCUCCAGGCAGCCAGCCCUCAAGCAUCACUUACAGGACCAGAGCAAGCUCAGGAUAACAUCACGAGUGCCCGGCUGCUGCAGCAGGAGGUUCUGCAGAACGUCUCGGAUGCUGAGAGCUGUUACCUUGUCCACACCCUGCUGGAGUUCUACUUGAAAACUGUUUUCAAAAACUACCACAAUAGAACAGUUGAAGUCAGGACUCUGAAGUCAUUCUCUACUCUGGCCAACAACUUUGUUCUCAUCGUGUCACAACUGCAACCCAGUCAAGAAAAUGAGAUGUUUUCCAUCAGAGACAGUGCACACAGGCGGUUUCUGCUAUUCCGGAGAGCAUUCAAACAGUUGGACGUAGAAGCAGCUCUGACCAAAGCCCUUGGGGAAGUGGACAUUCUUCUGACCUGGAUGCAGAAAUUCUACAAGCUCUGAAUGUCUAGACCAGGACCUCCCUCCCCCUGGCACUGGUUUGUUCCCUGUGUCAUUUCAAACAGUCUCCCUUCCUAUGCUGUUCACUGGACAC
rnacentral:lncRNA from 1 species